rnacentral:rRNA from 1 species
UACGUAGGGAGCAAGCGUUGUUCGGAUUUACUGGGCGUAAAGGGCGCGUAGGCGGCAUGACAAGUCACUUGUGAAAUCUCUGGGCUUAACCCAGAACGGCCAAGUGAUACUGUCGCGCUAGAGUGCGGAAGGGGCAAUCGGAAUUCUCGGUGUAGCGGUGAAAUGCGUAGAUAUCAAGAGGAACACCUGAGGUGAAGACGGGUUGCUAGGCUGACACUGACGCUGAGGCGCGAAAGCCAGGGGAGCAAACGGG